UACGGAGGAUGCGAGCGUUAUCCGGAUUUAUUGGGUUUAAAGGGUGCGUAGGCGGAUCGUUAAGUCAGUGGUCAAAUUGAGGGGCUCAACCCCUUCCCGCCAUUGAAACUGGCGAUCUUGAGUGGAAGAGAAGUAUGCGGAAUGCGUGGUGUAGCGGUGAAAUGCAUAGAUAUAUGGAGGAACACCGGUGGCGAAAGCGGCUCUCUGGCCUGUAACUGACACUGAGGCUCGAAAGCGUGGGGAGCAAACAGG
rnacentral:rRNA from 1 species